rnacentral:rRNA from 1 species
UACGUAGGGUGCAAGCGUUGUCCGGAAUUAUUGGGCGUAAAGAGCUCGUAGGCGGUCUGUCGCGUCGGAUGUGAAAAUCCAGGGCUCAACCCUGGACCUGCAUUCGAUACGGGCAGACUAGAGUUCGGCAGGGGAGACUGGAAUUCCUGGUGUAGCGGUGAAAUGCGCAGAUAUCAGGAGGAACACCGGUGGCGAAGGCGGGUCUCUGGGCCGAUACUGACGCUGAGGAGCGAAAGCGUGGGGAGCAACAGG